rnacentral:tRNA from 1 species
GUGGGUAUAGCUCAGUGGUUGAGCACUUGAUUAGCAUGCACGAGGUCCUGGUUCAAUCCCCAGUACCUCCA